GUGCUCGCUUCGGCAGCACAUGUACUAAAAUUGGAACGAUGCAGAGAUUAGCAUGGCCCCAGCGCAAGGAUGACACACAAAUUCAUGAUGCAUUCCAUAUUCUU
rnacentral:snRNA from 1 species